GGAUUAAUUAGGGUUUAAAAUAAUUUACCGGUAAUUAUGAUUUUACUUGGGCUAUAGAUUGGCUUUUAUUAUGUGGUAAUUAGGUUAAUCGAAGUGUAUAUAUAAAUGAAUCGAUUGGUAUAUGAAUAAAUUGAUUAGUCUGUCAAUGGAUUAUAUUUUGUUAUUAAUGUUGAUUCAUUCAUAUGGGGUUAUAGAAUUCUAAUAGGUUUCAAUGUCCUCAUUCUUACCCUAUAUAAAGGGUUAAACAUUGGUAGGCAGCAAUAUAUAUAUAUAUAUCCUUAUCAUAUUAGUUAAUGUGUUAAUGUUGUUCUUUAAGCACAUUCGAUUGUCCUAUUAAUUUUGUGCUUCAUUGUAAUUGUGGUGUUUUAAUUAAUGCUAUAUUGGAUUUAUAAUGAUCGAUCCAUGGGUUUCUUUGAGCUUCUAUCCGUUUGAAUGAAUGAUUUGGUUACCUUUGAAGUGUGCUAAUAGAUCCACUAGAAUUGGGGAAUCCUGCUCACAUUUUCUACUAAAGUAAUAAUCAUUAGGUGGCUGCUGAAUUGGGGAAUCCUGCUCGCUAAUGUAAUUUGGGAUUUCUUUACUUCGAGGACAAACUGGUAUUUACGAGUUGCAGAGGGUGGAUAUGGGCGUGCAGUGUAUAAUGUAUCAUUGUGCUACUCUUUAGUGAGGGGGUUCUCGCAAAACCAUAAGCAAUCAAGGAUAUGGAUGAAUCCUGCUGCUGAUUAUGGACAUAUUCAUCAUUCAUGUAGUUCUGUUAUGUAUUUGAAAAGGCGAGGUGGUAUUUACGAGUUGCAGGAGGUGGAUAUGGGAUUGUGAAGUGUAUAAUGUAUCAUUGUGCUACUCUUUAGGGAGGGGGUUCUUGCAAAUCCAUAAGCAAUCAAGGAAAUGGUUGAAGCUUGCUGCUGAUCAUGGACAUAGAAAACCUCAGUUUGAGCAUGGACUUACUAUAGUUUUGUCAACUACAACUACAGUUAACAGUUUUGUUAUUAGUAUACUGUUCCUUUUUUGAGGGAAAAACAAAAUAAUACUCCCUCCGUCCCAUUUGACUUUCAAACAUUAAUUAUAAUAUGCUCUCUAUGGUUUUAUUAUUUUGUUUUUAUGUACUUUUAUAAAUAUGCCUAAAUGGCAUAUGUAUGGUUCAUUUUCUUUCUUUCCAUCUUCAUAAUAUCUGCAAUAAGCUUUGGCCAAUCGUUGAAAGUGCAUUCAAAGAGUCAAGGGAUAAAGAGAUUUUAUUAACGGGUCAACUCUGAUUGAAUAGCUGGAAACAGAAUCAAGCCUCGAAACCGGUCGGUAUGCGCCCUGUAUAUGUAGUUGUUAGGGACUACGGAUUAUUCGUGCUUUAGGAGUUGUCAUAUACUAAUGCAACUGUACGUUUAAUGAAAUGAUGAAUCUUUAUUUACCAAAAGUUAAAAGGAGUAAAGGGAAUGUAAAGUUAAGUUUGUUAAAACCAAAUUUGGAUUUAGUCCGAUCAAUUUUGAACGAAUGCUUUUAUAGGGACUAAUUAGGUGCUAUUUGAAGAUAGUUGAACAAUGUCAUAGACACUGGGUUACUAGCUCUCUUAGCUUGUCUUCUCUAAGGUUACCCUACUGUCUAUUUCCCAUGUGACAAUUUACCAUACUAUGUAUAUCAGCUGCUCUAUCUCAUACAUUUUUUUGGAUGUUGCUGUAUACGUGUCGGUGAGUCCAGCUAGCCAAUCACAAUUGUGUAACCGAAGUUAAGUUCACUAAUGCCCACGUCCAUUUCCUAGUUAUACUCCUAAAACUGAGGACAAGGCGGCUAUGAAGGCUAUUUUGGGGAUUACUUUGACAAGGAUGUCGAUAGAUUGAAGACAUGGAGGAACUUCUGUUGUAGUCCCCUGCACAAACAGUAGGAGGAAAAAUCAAAUAUCUAAGCGUCGCAUUGGGCAAAAACUUAGAAAUGAGACAAUUGGCAAAGAAUUUGGGUGCAUGAACUUUCGAUGGGGGCUAUGGACAGUUUGUUUACUUGGAAAGUAUAUUUUUCUGUAUAAGAAUGAGCAGCCUACUAUGUAAAAAAGGAAAUGUAGUAAUUCAUUUGUACUUAAAGUUUCAACUUUUCAGACUCACACAAUAUAGAACACUGCUGCAAAUGUCAGACCCAGUCAAGAUUAUUCAGGUACAUUUAUAUAUGGACUCCAUUAGAGGCCAACGAAAAAUAAAAGAAAAAACUCAUUCUGAAACAGGUUCAAAGAAUGGUUAAUGGAGCUGUAAAGUUUGUAAAGGAAGACAAGGAAAAGAGAGAUGCCAUAGACACAAAGAACCAUGCAGACUUAGUUGUGUACCAAACAGAGAAGCGGCUUAGAGAAAGAGAAACUAUGCCACCUUCGCUUCUACCUGCAAGACAUUAUGGCAGCCAAACUUCUGUCCGGGUGGCUGAGACCGCCAUGACCAACACCUCCAAAACCGCAUUUGGAGCUACCAUCAUACUUGACGACGCAUUAAACAAUUGGCAUCGAAAGAACCUCCAAGAUUGUAGGAAGUGCACAAGGGAUAUAUGCAUUUGCUGACUUAAAUGGUUAAUGGUACUAAAUUAGGGAGGUAUCCACCAUUGACUUCGGUCAGAGAGAUGCCGAUUGUUGGUGGAAGUGGGCUUUUCCGAUUAGAUGCUCAUGAUAUGGUUUUAUGAAAUGACUUUCAUCAGCUAUUUCAAAAACCGGUAAAAAAAAUACAUGCAAACAAUAUAUUUAGGGAUAAUGACAUACGAAUGUAACUACCUAUAACCAAAUGGUUAUAUAAUGUAGUGACCUAUUCAGGUGGCUAUAAUGUAUGCACUUAUGUUUUCUUAACUAUACUAUUGUAACGACCAAACUCCGUGUAAGAUAAUAUAAAAGUUAUAAGAUUUUUUUUUUUU